CAUAUCUUGCCAGAUGAUCAGGAAUUUCUAGAAGCUGUCGCAAAAACUAGACUUGACAUCAGAAUAAUACAACAGCCUCCCAACGGUCCUGAUUUGAAUGUGCUUGACCUUGGGUUUUUCAACUCGCUCCAAUCCCUGACAGAUUGUCUGAGUCCUAAAACACUACAAGACCUUAUUAAGGGUGUUUUGGAGGAAUUUGAAGGCUAUGAUGUUUACAAGCUCAACAGAAUUUUCCUAACUCUGCAGUUGUGCAUGAUUGAGAUCCUAAACCAUGCAGGGGGCAAUGGGUAUAAAAUACCCCAUGUAAACAAGGAAAGGCUUGAGGGGAUUGGG
rnacentral:rRNA from 1 species